UCACCUCUGCAGGCUGGCCAGCCUCUAGGCUGGGCUGGGCAUCUCUUCCAAAGGCUCACCCUCAAGCAGGACUAGGAGC
rnacentral:pre_miRNA from 1 species